GACGAACGCUGGCGGCGUGCUUAACACAUGCAAGUCGAACGGAAAGACCCUGCUCUUGCUUCGCGCUCGUUUGGCGCACAGGUGUGUAAAACGCGAGUAACAUGCACCUGUCUUACUGAUAAAUUCAGGGAAAUGCGGCUCAAAUCCGAUAGAAUCUCCUGCUCCGCGUGGUGGGAUAGAAAAAUCCGGCGGUUGGGGCUGGUCUGGCGGCUUAUCAGCUUGUUUGUGAGGUUGUGGAUUACCAAGCCUUUGACGGGUAGGCGGCCUGGGAGGGUGGCCGGGCACAUUGGGACUGAGAUACGGCCCAGACUCCUACGGGACGCAGUAGUGGGGAAUAUGGCACAAUGGGCCGACGCCAGAUGCAGCAACGCCGCGUGCGGGAUGCCGGCCUUCGGGUUGUGAACAGCUUUCGCCUGUGACGUAGCGUGAGUGACGGUAAUGGGUAAAAAAGCACCGGCUAACUACGUG
rnacentral:rRNA from 1 species